rnacentral:rRNA from 1 species
CCUACGGGUGGCAGCAGUGAGGAAUAUUGGUCAAUGGGCGAGAGCCUGAACCAGCCAAGUCGCGUGAGGGAAGACGGUCCUAUGGAUUGUAAACCUCUUUUGCCGGGGAGCAAAAAGCGGUACGUGUACCGCAUCGAGAGUACCCGGAGAAAAAGCAUCGGCUAACUCCGUGCCAGCAGCCGCGGUAAUACGGAGGAUGCGAGCGUUAUCCGGAUUUAUUGGGUUUAAAGGGUGCGCAGGCGGUCUGUUAAGUCAGCGGUCAAAGCCCGGGGCUCAACCCCGGCCCGCCGUUGAAACUGGCAGUCUCGAGUUGGAGAGAAGUAUGCGGAAUGCGCGGUGUAGCGGUGAAAUGCAUAGAUAUCGCGCAGAACUCCGAUUGCGAAGGCAGCAUGCCGGCUCCACACUGACGCUGAGGCACGAAAGCGUGGGUAUCGAACAGGAUUAGAUACCCGAGUAGUC